rnacentral:rRNA from 1 species
UGAGGAAUAUUGGGCAAUGCCCGCAAGGGUGACCCAGCAACGACGCGGGGAGGAUGAAUGGCGUAAGAUUGUAAACUCCUGUUAGAGGGGAAGAAUAGUACCGGUUGGACCGGUAUAUGACUGUACCCUCAGAGAAAGCCCCGGCCAAAUACGUGCCAGCAGCCGCGGUAAUACGUAGGGGGCAAGCUUUGUCCGGAUUUACUGGGUGUAAAGGGUGCGCAGUCGGGAUAAAAAGUCAGUGGUGAAAUCCUACAGCUUAACUGUAGAACUGCCUUUGAUACUUUUAUUCUUGAGUUCGGGAGAGAGUGACGGAAUUCCAGGUGUAGUGGUGAAAUACGUAGAUAUCUGGAAGAACACCAGUUGCGAAGGCGGUCUCUUGGUCCGACACUGACGCUGAGGCGCGAAAGCGUGGGGAGCAAACA